CCCGGCACAAGCGGUGGAGUAUGUGGUUUAAUUCGAUGCAACGCGAAGAACCUUACCUGGUCUUGACAUCCCGGAGACCCUUAGGAAACUAGGGGGUGCUUCCAUCUGGAAGAAUCUGGAGACAGGUGCUGCAUGGCUGUCGUCAGCUCGUGUCGUGAGAUGUUGGGUUAAGUCCCGCAACGAGCGCAACCCUUGCCUUUAGUUGCCAGCAGUUCGGCUGGGCACUCUAAAGGGACUGCCGGUGUUAAACCGGAGGAAGGUGGGGAUGACGUCAAGUCCUCAUGGCCUUUAUGACCGGGGCUACACACGUACUACAAUGGCCGAUACAAAGGGCAGCGACACUGCGAGGUGAAGCCAAUCCCGUAAAAUCGGUCUCAGUCCGGACUGGAGUCUGCAACUCGACUCCAUGAAGUUGGAAUCGCUAGUAAUCGUGGAUCAGCAUGCCACGGUGAAUACGUUCCCGGGCCUU
rnacentral:rRNA from 1 species